rnacentral:rRNA from 1 species
CCCGUCUUGAAACACGGACCAAGGAGUUUAAUUAGGCUUCGAGUUGAUCGGUCUUGAAUAGGCCAGACUAAAUGAUGGGUCAAACCAUCGUUUGAAUGAAGGCGUAGAGAAAUCAAAUCGAGUGAUCGUGCUAGCAAUAACAGCUUGUACGCGCAACAUGUGCCUGUUCGUAUAGUAAUGUUAGCAAUAACUUAAUGGGCGGAGCAAAGAGAUGCUUGAUUGGUACCCGAAAGAUGGUGAACUAUGCCUGGGCAAAUUGAAGCCAGAGGAAACUCUGGUGGAGGAUUGUAGCGAUUCUGACGUGCAAAUCGAUCGUCAGACCUGGGUAUAGGGGAAAAAGACUAAUCGAACCAUCUAGUAGCUGGUUCCUUCCGAAA